GGCGCGUCGGCACCCCUAGCGGUGUCGGCGCGCGGCUUCGACGAAACCCGCCGGCGCAAAGAAAUUGAAAACGAGUCCGGCACUCGUCGAGGGACGAUGGCGACGGGUCCGACGGCGCGCGCUCGCGCGCGUCGGCGCGGACCGGCCCGCAGUCCCGGGGUGCCUCGUUCGCCGGUUCGCGCUCGCGCGGACCGACGAGAGGUGCGCCCAGAGCGCACACGCUAGGACCCGAAAGAUGGUGAACUAUGCCUGGCCAGGACGAAGUCAGGGGAAACCCUGAUGGAGGUCCGAAACGAUUCUGACGUGCAAAUCGAUCGUCUGAGCUGGGUAUAGGGGCGAAAGACUAAUCGAACUAUCUAGUAGCUGGUUCCCUCCGAAGUUUCCCUCAGGAUAGCUGGCGCUCCUUUACUCCCUUGCGGACACGAGAGAGUCUCUUCCGGUAAAGCGAAUGAUUAGAGGCCUUGGGGCCGAAACGACCUCAACCUAUUCUCAAACUUUAAAUGGGUGAGAACCCCGGCUUGCUCGAGAUGUU
rnacentral:rRNA from 1 species